CCCGUUGUUGCUAACCGUCUUUUGGGCUAAUUACAGCCGUUCAAAGUCCUGAACUUUUAAUCUCAGCCGUAUAAAGUCUCUAAAUUCCUUCUAGAAGCAGCAGUUCACGGCAGUUCAGCUCUCUCUCACCCAUGAUCUUGCGGUUUCCUGCAGUUUAUCAAGAUGCACCAAUCAGAAAUACAGCAACACAUCUGCAGCAAUGGAUAUCUCGGAUGACUUCGUGGACAUUUAUGAAGACGAUCAGCCUGCAAAGAAACUGGGUUUUGAUGCAAUGACA